CGCCCGGGGCCGGGGCGGGGCGCCCGCGCACUCCCCGGCCGCUCCCCGGAGAGGGACCCGGGGCUGGCCCGCGGUGCGGGUCUGGGGGGCGGCUCGCUAGGGCGCUGUGGUCCGAGGCGGGGAGGCCCGGGGACGGAGGGAGGGCGGCACCCGGAGCCUCUACUGUCCGGAGCCCGGCGCCCCCGCCCCCGCUCGGGCCCCGACCGGGAGAGCCGACGCGGGCUUGCCGCAAGCUUCCCGCUGCCCGCGGAAGGCGGCCUCUGGGCUCCGGCCCUCGGGGGGGGGGGGGGAGGGGGACGGGUGGCGGCGCGGGCCCUGAGGUCGCGGCCGGAGCUGCUGGCCGCCGCCGCAGCCGCCCCGCUGUCGAGUCGAGGAACUCCAGCGGUUUAGGGCUUCCGUGGUCUUUGCGGUCUGGGCCUCAUUCUCCCCGCAGGACUCGGCUCGUCUGCGAGCUGCACAUCGCCCCAAAGCCCCCCCCCCCCCCCCCCCCCCACUGUCCGGGUCGCGGAUCCCGCGUCCUGACCGGUUGCUCAGCCUGAAUUUGAAGUGAAACACCGGGCCGGGCCGCCUGCGAUCCCUCCUCCCGAAGGCUGUGAACUCUUAGGAUGGGCGCCCAGUCCGCAAUUCAACAAGUCUUUAGGAGUAAGCGCUGUGAACAAAUGACUGAUGGAUAAUGGAUUAGCUCUAGAACCCUGUCAAUUAGGUUAAUUCUGAUGGAUUCCAUUUUUGUAUGGUUCCACAGUACUAGUAUCAAUAGAUUUAUUUGUGAGCAUGUUUCUUUGGAGGAAAUGCAUUUCUAGGGUAUUACUUUUUUGAGAAAUCAAGUAUGUUGUUUAUGGAAGGAGUAAUCAAUUAGGCAGCUUGUGAUUUUUGAAAACUAAUUUUCGAUUCCUCAAAAACAUUUUCUAAUUCGUAUCAGCAGGCUAAAAUUGGGUCUUCCUUUCCCUUGGAAAUGUCUCGAUUGUCACCCAGCAAGAUAGGCAUUUGUUUAUCAAAGCUGAAACAAUCAUGAUUGAUUCAGUUUCUCUGCUGUAUUAUUUUAUGCUUAUUUUUCCUCCAAAACAAUGGAGAGUGCAAAAAGCAACAGUGAAAGUUGUCUUGGGUCUUUUAUCCGUAUAAUUAAUGAAUGCAAACAAUAGGUCUUUAUACAUAGGUAUGGGCAGGAAACCUACUUAUUCACUCAUGGAGUAGGAUAUGUAGUUUUAGGCAAGCUAAUGCUCAGGGCCAACAUGUUCUUUAAAUAAUUCUUUUUUCCCCCGUCUUAAAGGUAUUUUACUACAUACAGCGGUAACGUUUAACUGCUAUGACCAUACCAGCGGAAAAAGUACACACACUAAGAUGAUGUUCGAAAUUGUUCCAAUUGUCUCACCAAACAUAUGAGAUGAAUAACUUCUGUGCAAUAAAGACAAAUGCUACCAUUAAACCAGUAAGAAAUACAAGCAUCAAAAUACCUGAUGAGUUGGUCAAAUAAUUGCUUUUGUAAAAAUGAUUUUUCAAAAUGGGCCUUGGGCAAUAUGUUUCAUAAAAAACAUUUGGUUAUCUUUUUACACCUUCUUCUAGAGCCAGCCAUUUGGGUUUGACGUGAAUUAAUCCAUUUUAAUGCAAAAGACUGCAUUAAACAGAAAAAAAAAAAAAAGCUGCAAAAGACAAAUGGUUCCAAAUUUCAGGCUCUGUGCCUAGAAACCAAAAGUGUCUCCAGCUGGUUUAACAGAGGAAGUAUUACUUGUCAUGAUAUUAGACCAUUGGCACAUCAAGCAGUGAUUACAUGGAUUCUGAAUGGAAAGCAUCCCUUCACUAAAACACAUGAUUCUGAAUCACCUUAGGCAAAGAAAGAAAUGCCCAGCGUGUUUGUGCACUUCCAACAGAAACAUUAAUCAAGGCAGCACUGUAAAGAAGGCCCAUUCACUUUUUGGAUAGUUAACUAUCAAAUCCAUUAAUUAAACAUUUAUUGAGCACUA